rnacentral:rRNA from 1 species
AUUGAACGCUGGCGGCAGGCCUAACACCUGCAAGUCGAGCGGAGCGGCGGACGGGUGAGUAAUGCCUAGGAAUCUGCCUGGUAGUGGGGGCUAACGUCCGGAAACGGGCACUAAUACCGCAUACUAUCAGAUGAGCCUAGGUAGGAUUAGCUAGAUGGUGGGGUAAAGGACUACCAAGGCGACGAUCCGUAACUGGUCGGAGAGGAUGAUGAGUCACAGUGGAACUGAGACCCGGUCCAGACUGCUACGGGAGGAAGCAGUGGCGAAUAGUGGACAGUGGGCGGAAGCCUGAUACAGCCAUGAGGCGUGUGUGAAGAAGGUCUUCGGAUUGUAAAGCACUUGAAGUUGGGAGGCGUGACCAACAGAAUAAGCACCGGCUAACUUCGUGCCAGCAGCCGCGGUAAUUC